AUGGAUAGGCAAGGCAUUUCAUCUCCGGUCUAUGACAACAACGAUGGCGUGAACAACUACAUCAACAAAGCGUCCAUCUUCGAUCUACAACGACAAAUACAAGGCGCACAAUCAAGAUUGCGAGAGCGCAUCGAGAACAUCUCCAUCGACAUUCUUCACUCCGAAGCAAGGAAAAGGGACUACAUCAACAAGAAGCUUUCCGCACCUAAAGAGGAGCAAGAUGCAAGGAUGGAGGAGAUUAGAGCCUUGAUCAAGUCUUCUUCCCCUUCGUCAUCUUCAAGGAGGCGACAUUCAAGACACAAGUCUUCGGAGCGCGAAAGCAAUGCAAGUGCAAAUCGUCCUCGUCCACAUCUACAUGGCGACCACCAUCACGUUCAUGAUCAACAUCGCCAUGAGGGGCAAGUCACCUCCAAGCAUCAUGUGCACGACGACGACGAACAACAUAUACUACGAGCUCAAGCACGACAACGACAUCAUCAUCAUGAAGAUGCUCCACAAGCGCAAGUGCACAAGUCCCAACAAGCCCUACUUCACGCCAAGUCGAAGCUUCAUGAGCAAAAGAGAAGACCGCGGGACGAGCACCACCAAGACGGAGCUACGGCUACCACCACCACUUCGGCAUCUUCGCCCAAGUGCUAUCAAGGCAUCUUCGCCUUUGGACAUACGACAUCUUCGCCUACUUCCAAUGAGUACACCUACAUCAACUUCAUCUAG
rnacentral:rRNA from 1 species